rnacentral:rRNA from 1 species
GGGUUGUGAGGUUAAGCGACUAAGCGUACACGGUGGAUGCCCUGGCAGUCAGAGGCGAUGAAGGACGUGCUAAUCUGCGAAAAGCGUCGGUAAGGUGAUAUGAACCGUUAUAACCGGCGAUGUCCGAAUGGGGAAACCCAGUGUGAUUCGUCACACUAUCGUUAACUGAAUACAUAGGUUAACGAGGCGAACCGGGGGAACUGAAACAUCUAAGUACCCCGAGGAAAAGAAAUCAACCGAGAUUCCCCCAGUAGCGGCGAGCGAACGGGGAGCAGCCCAGAGUCUGAAUCAGCUUGUGUGUUAGUGGAACGGUCUGGAAAGUCCGACGGUACAGGGUGAUAGUCCCGUACACCAAAAUGCACAGGUUGUGAACUCGAAGAGUAGGGCGGGACACGUGGUAUCCUGUCUGAAUAUGGGGGGACCAUCCUCCAAGGCUAAAUACUCCUGACUGACCGAUAGUGAACCAGUACCGUGAGGGAAAGGCGAAAAGAACCCCGGCGAGGGGAGUGAAAAAGAACCUGAAACCGUGUACGUACAAGCAGUGGGAGCACCUUCGGGUGUGACUGCGUACCUUUUGUAUAAUGGGUCAGCGACUUAUAUUCUGUAGCAAGGUUAACCGUAUAGGGGAGCCGCAGGGAAACCGAGUCUUAACUGGGCGUUAAGUUGCAGGGUAUAGACCCGAAACCCGGUGAUCUAGCCAUGGGCAGGUUGAAGGUUGGGUAACACUAACUGGAGGACCGAACCGACUAAUGUUGAAAAAUUAGCGGAUGACUUGUGGCUGGGGGUGAAAGGCCAAUCAAACCGGGAGAUAGCUGGUUCUCCCCGAAAGCUAUUUAGGUAGCGCCUCGUGAAUUCAUCUUCGGGGGUAGAGCACUGUUUCGGCUAGGGGGUCAUCCCGACUUACCAACCCGAUGCAAACUACGAAUACCGAAGAAUGUUAUCACGGGAGACACACGGCGGGUGCUAACGUCCGUCGUGAAGAGGGAAACAACCCAGACCGCCAGCUAAGGUCCCAAAGUCAUGGUUAAGUGGGAAACGAUGUGGGAAGGCACAGACAGCCAGGAUGUUGGCUUAGAAGCAGCCAUCAUUUAAAGAAAGCGUAAUAGCUCACUGGUCGAGUCGGCCUGCGCGGAAGAUGUAACGGGGCUAAACCAUGCACCGAAGCUGCGGCAGCGACACUAUGUGUUGUUGGGUAGGGGAGCGUUCUGUAAGCCUGCGAAGGUGUGCUGUGAGGCAUGCUGGAGGUAUCAGAAGUGCGAAUGCUGACAUAAGUAACGAUAAAGCGGGUGAAAAGCCCGCUCGCCGGAAGACCAAGGGUUCCUGUCCAACGUUAAUCGGGGCAGGGUGAGUCGACCCCUAAGGCGAGGCCGAAAGGCGUAGUCGAUGGGAAACAGGUUAAUAUUCCUGUACUUGGUGUUACUGCGAAGGGGGGACGGAGAAGGCUAUGUUAGCCGGGCGACGGUUGUCCCGGUUUAAGCAUGUAGGCUGGUUAUCCAGGCAAAUCCGGAUAAUCAAGGCUGAGGUGUGAUGACGAGGCACUACGGUGCUGAAGUAACAAAUGCCCUGCUUCCAGGAAAAGCCUCUAAGCAUCAGGUAACAUCAAAUCGUACCCCAAACCGACACAGGUGGUCAGGUAGAGAAUACCAAGGCGCUUGAGAGAACUCGGGUGAAGGAACUAGGCAAAAUGGUGCCGUAACUUCGGGAGAAGGCACGCUGGUGUGUAGGUGAAGUCCCUGCGGAUGGAGCUGAGACCAGUCGAAGAUACCAGCUGGCUGCAACUGUUUAUUAAAAACACAGCACUGUGCAAACACGAAAGUGGACGUAUACGGUGUGACGCCUGCCCGGUGCCGGAAGGUUAAUUGAUGGGGUUAUCCGUAAGGAGAAGCUCUUGAUCGAAGCCCCGGUAAACGGCGGCCGUAACUAUAACGGUCCUAAGGUAGCGAAAUUCCUUGUCGGGUAAGUUCCGACCUGCACGAAUGGCGUAAUGAUGGCCAGGCUGUCUCCACCCGAGACUCAGUGAAAUUGAACUCGCUGUGAAGAUGCAGUGUACCCGCGGCAAGACGGAAAGACCCCGUGAACCUUUACUAUAGCUUGACACUGAACAUUGAGCCUUGAUGUGUAGGAUAGGUGGGAGGCUUUGAAACGUGGACGCCAGUCUGCGUGGAGCCAACCUUGAAAUACCACCCUUUAAUGUUUGAUGUUCUAACGUUGGCCCCUUACCGGGGUUGCGGACAGUGUCUGGUGGGUAGUUUGACUGGGGCGGUCUCCUCCCAAAGCGUAACGGAGGAGCACGAAGGUUAGCUAAUCCUGGUCGGACAUCAGGAGGUUAGUGCAAUGGCAUAAGCUAGCUUGACUGCGAGCGUGACGGCGCGAGCAGGUGCGAAAGCAGGUCAUAGUGAUCCGGUGGUUCUGAAUGGAAGGGCCAUCGCUCAACGGAUAAAAGGUACUCCGGGGAUAACAGGCUGAUACCGCCCAAGAGUUCAUAUCGACGGCGGUGUUUGGCACCUCGAUGUCGGCUCAUCACAUCCUGGGGCUGAAGUAGGUCCCAAGGGUAUGGCUGUUCGCCAUUUAAAGUGGUACGCGAGCUGGGUUUAGAACGUCGUGAGACAGUUCGGUCCCUAUCUGCCGUGGGCGCUGGAGAAUUGAGGGGGGCUGCUCCUAGUACGAGAGGACCGGAGUGGACGCAUCACUGGUGUUCGGGUUGUCAUGCCAAUGGCACUGCCCGGUAGCUAAAUGCGGAAGAGAUAAGUGCUGAAAGCAUCUAAGCACGAAACUUGCCCCGAGAUGAGUUCUCCCUGAGACUUUAAGUCUCCUGAAGGAACGUUGAAGACGACGACGUUGAUAGGCCGGGUGUGUAAGCGCAGCGAUGCGUUGAGCUAACCGGUACUAAUGAACCGUGAGGCUUAACCUUACAACGCCGAAG